rfam:Daedalea quercina L-15889 unplaced genomic scaffold DAEQTscaffold_7, whole genome shotgun sequence.
GGCUUUGUAGUGUAGCGGUUAUCACAGCGGAUUCUGAUUGUGAUCGGUACGGUCGAGAUUUCCGUUAACCCAGGUUCGAUUCCUGGCAAGGCCU